rnacentral:rRNA from 1 species
GACGAACGCUGGCGGCGUGCUUAACACAUGCAAGUCGAACGGAAAGGCCCUGCUUGCAGGGUGCUCGAGUGGCGAACGGGUGAGUAACACGUGGGUGAUCUGCCCCUUACUUUGGGAUAAGCCUGGGAAACUGGGUCUAAUACUCGAUAGGACCAUGCUGUAGGUGGUGUGGUGGAAAGAUUAGUUUCGGUAAGGGAUGAGCUCGCGGCCUAUCAGCUUGUUGGUGGGGUAUUGGCCUACCAAGACGUCGACGGGUAGCCGGCCUGAGAGGGUGGACGGCCACAUUGGGACUGAGAUACGGCCCAGACUCCUACGGGAGGCAGCAGUGGGGAAUAUUGCACAAUGGGCGCAAGGCUGAUGCAGCGACGCCGCGUGGGGGAUGACGGCCUUCGGGUUGUAAACUCCUUUCAGCCAUGACGAAGCCCUUGUGGUGACGGUAGUGGUAGAAGAAGCACCGGCUAACUACGUG